CGGCAGGAAGCGCGCGUGGGAGGGCGCUGCCUCCCCGCCCAGGAUCGCGGUAGCCCUGGGGCGGCGACGGAGUAUUGACUUCCUCCCACCUCUGCGGAGGAAGCUGGAGGCGCUGUCCUCCGGGCUCCGGGGUGCCCACCUGGGGAGGCGGAGGGGCCACACCUGUUCCGACCAGGCAGGCGACAUGCCCUCGGGUUGAAGUGUUAGGACCCCGUGCAGGGCAGGAACACACCGGGGGCGCAUGCACGGGGCAGCGUUGGUGAAAGCCUCUCCAGGCUCUGGCUUUCUCUAAGGAGGACCCUCCUAGCUUUAGCUCCAUGACAUUUCAACAGCCAGCGUUUCCUUGACACCAUUCUGGGUCAACAGUGGCUGCCGGUGCUCUUCACUCCGUGGACAGCCGUGGGGGCAUCUUUCCAGACGCCAGGAGCAGGAAGCUGCCUGCUCAUCCUGAACAAGCCUCCCUGUGAGAGUCAUCUGGGUAAAAUAGUUUUUAGGAACUAGACACAAUCCCUCAGUGUACCCAGGUCCUCGGUGUUAGGAGAGAGCAAGUUAGCAUCCCCACAAACGGUCCCCAUAGAGUGUGUCCCCCUGACCCCCCUCACCUGCCUCCCCGCACCCAGCUCAAGACAUUCGGGUCUCCCCCAUCGGCAGCCCGCCCUACUGUGCCAGGCUGGGAGCUAAGUACUUGACAUUCCUUAUCUCCUUUAAUCUUCACGAUAACCCCAUGAUCUGGAUAUUGUAAUCACCUGAUCUCACAGACGAGGAAACAAGCUUGCAGCUGUCCAGGAACUGCCAGGACCACAAAGCUGACCCUCGCCACAUGUUGUCUCCUCUCUGAAGCCUUCCCUGAUUUUUUGUGGCCCAAGCUAGCCUGUGUGCUCUGAGCCCCACCCCACUACCACACUGCUGCCUCUGGGAGAAUGUCUGCCACAUGGAACUUCAGCUUACCUGCUCAUCUGAUGCCCACCUGGAUGGUAGUAUAAGUUGCUGUUCCUGCCUGGGCUCCAGAUCUUCCCAGCUUCAGUAGCUCCAACCACUAACUAAUGUAUCCUCAAUCCUAGUUCCAAACUGCUCUAGCUUAGGUCUGACACUCACCCCAGCUGCGUGGAAUAAUUAUGGCCACCUGGACCCAUCCCAUGAAAUGAAGGGACAAGGCAGGAAAAGGAGGUGAAAGCCAGCAGAAACCUCGAACGGUGCUAUUGCAGGGUCCAUCAGGACCUCUCCAUAGUAACCACAUAAAAGACAAAAAUAGAAGAGGACUGUGAUGAUCCUGCCAAAGGACAGUGCACCUGGGAUUGCAGCUUCCCCAGCCCCGUCCUGAAGCCCAGCGCACACAGACUCCAUUCCCAUGUUAGCUCAAGUGGUAGAUGGAAAUCCAAGACGGCUUCCAAGACAUCCCCAGUGCUGUGUAUGCCUGCAAAAUUCCCUCCCCUGAGUGUGGGCCUGGGAAUAUGAUGGGAUAGUCACUCCAGUGACUAGGUUAUGUUAUAUAACCCAAGUGAUCAGAUGCUCCCACAAUUUCUGUUACUUUAUAUAAGACUGUGGUAGCAGAUAGAGGAAGGAUUCUCCUGCUGGCCUUGAAGAAGGAAGCUUCAAUGUUGUGAGAGGCCCAUGCGGCUAGGACCUAAAGGUGGCCUCUAGGACUUCAGCCUGACCCAAGCCCCAACUUGACACUUCUUUCCAGAAAAAAAUCAGAUACCUCAGUCAUAAGACCACAGGCACUGCAAUUCUGCCAACCGUCUGAAUCAGCUUGGCAGAGGACCCGAGGUUCAGGUGGGAAUGCAGGCCCAGUCCACACCUGAUUUCAGCUUGGUGACAUGCUAAACAGAGGACCCAGCUGUGGCACCAUGCCUGGACUACAGAAGCUGUGAGAUAAUAAACUCAUGUUUUUUGUUACUAAAUUUGUGGUAGUUUGUUACACAGCAACAAAAAACUAAUAAAUCUAACUCAGGGAGAAAUCAUGGGGCAUUAGGCAUGCCCAGAGGACUAAGUUUCAAAUGUUCAAUGUCAAAUCAAAUGUCUACAUGAAUAAAAAUAUCAUGUAAGUCCCCAUAUGACUGCUUUACUCCAGACUUCAGCUUUCCAGGCCACCCACAUUCUCCAUCACCCAAUUCUCACAGGUUGGGGCUGGGGCCAGGAGAGCUGUCCCCCAGUGCAGACAUUGAGGGGGAAGUAGGUAGCCAUCCAGCUCAGGGAAUGAAAAUAACAUGAUGCUAGUUUCACUUUAAAUAUUUGGAUUUAUGUAAAGGAUUAAUAACAACCAGAUUGUGAGGGGAACCCAGCAUUCCCAAACAUCAUUACUGUGAGUAUAAAUUGGAUCUGCUUUUCAGGGUACAAUUUGGCAAAAUCUAUUAAAUUGCAAAAUGCACAUAUUCUUUAAUUCAGCAAUACUUCUUUUAAGAAUUUGCCCUACAGGAAUUUCAGCACAGGGUCCAAUUAUAUAUAUGUACAAGAAUGUUCAUUGCAGCAUUAUUUGCAAAAGAAAAAAAUUGGCAAUAACUUGCAUGCCUAUCAAUAAAUGGUUAAAUAAAUUGUGAUUCGUUCACUGGAAUACUAUUCAGCUGUUGAAAAAAUGAGGUUCAUUUAUAUGUGUUGACAUUUCUUUGUCAUAUCUAUGAUAUACUGUUAAGGGGGAAAAGCAAGUUGCAGAACAUUAUAUAGAGCAUAUCAUUUUUGUUCAAAGUAAUUACAUAUUUAUAUGUUAAAAUAUGCAUAGAAAAAAUGGAAAAAUAAAAACCAAAUUUUUAAGAAGAGUUAUUUCUUGAAUUAUGGGGAAAUUUCUGUUUUAUAUAUACUUUUGGAUUAUGUUCUAUGAUGGGGGACUUUCUGUAUUAUGCAUUUCUGUAUUGUUAGAAAAAUUUACCAUGUGCAUUUGUUAAUUUUAUAAUAAAACAAUAAAUAAUUUUUUAAAAAUUGGAUUCAACACCCCUAGAUCCUUCAUCUACUGUCUAAGAAACUAAUGCAAGCCAGCUAGACUUCCCAUAAGGGCAAAUGUGCAGUGAAGAAUAACUACCCAAGGAGAAGUCUGGCCUUUGCCAUUGGUUACUGGGAGGUGAGCUCUAGGCCUUUGGAAGGCCCUGUCAGAGAGCAGUGUCUUUGUUGCUGGUGGCUUUGGGCGCUGAACAUUCUGACAGUGUGAUUUAUG